rnacentral:rRNA from 1 species
UACGUAGGGACCAAGCGUUGUUCGGAAUUACUGGGCGUAAAGGGCGCGUAGGCGGCUCGGUAAGUAGGGGGUGAAAUCCUGCGGCUUAACCGCAGGGCUGCCUUCUAAACUGUCGAGCUUGAGCACGGUAGAGGCAGAUGGAAUUCCCGGUGUAGCGGUGGAAUGCGUAGAGAUCGGGAAGAACAUCAGUGGCGAAGGCGGUCUGCUGGGCCGUUGCUGACGCUGAGGCGCGACAGCGUGGGGAGCAAACAGG